CAGACGACCAACCAGACAGGCCAGCCCCCUUACCUAGUGGGCCAAGCUGCCACUGUGGGGACACAGCCACGCUCCCGCCGACCCAGAGGAGGGCCUCCGCCAGGCAGGCCACGGUUCCCUUGGUCCGGCUUGGGGCAGUGUGAGCUGGAGCCUUCAAGUCCACCCUCCCAGGCGAGAGACCUCGCGGAAGCUAUGCCCAGGGCCUGGGGGCAUAGAGCCCAGGCUGGCCUGAGGGGUCCACACCAGGCAGUGAAGUUGAAAGGUCACUUCGCCAGGUCCAAGUGCAACACCCCUCGUGGGGGCCGCUGUGAGAAGAGCCCAGCCCUGAGCCAGGGGCCGCCGUGGGGCGAGCCCAGCCCUGAGCAGUGCCUGGGCUGCAGGACAGCUGGGCAGCCUGGGCCGCAGCGGCCACGGAGCUGGACGGCCCUCAGGAGCAGACAGCCUUGAGGAAUCGCCUUGCCACUGGUGGAGUAAGAAACCCUCAGAAACCUUCACGGGGCACCUCAAGGUUCCGGAUUCUGACUCCUACAUGAACCUCCAGGGAGAUGUGCCCCAGGACCCUCUGCAGGACACCAGCGUGUGACCACAGCCUGGUUGCCUGUGAGGCUCUGCCGAGGCCCCAUGGGCACCAGGGACCCGGCGCACAGCAGAGAGGUCCUGGUUGGGUCCCUGAUUCUGCUUCUCCAAGGCUGCUUCGGAGUGUCCCAGUUAGCAGGGCCCUCAAGGCACCAGGUCCAACCUCUCUUCUUUUCCAUAAGGAAAACCAAGCAGAGGGGUCUCGCCCAGGGAUCACGGCCAGGCAGAGUCAGAGCAGAGACCAGGACCCAGGCCCUGACCUCAGGCAGCACCCGUUCCAGAAAGGUCACCCCAACAGCCACACUGGUCCCUGCUGCCGCCUCCGGUGUGGGCCCCGUGGCCCAGCGCGCACACGCAUGUCUUAAUCACCUCUGCAAGGAGUCGAGCGCUUGUUUAAAGAUGGAAAGGCGGCCCCUUGGGCAACAAGGCGGUACUGACAGCCCCUCCGCUGGGAGUAACACAGCCCAGUGGCACCGAGGAAGUUUUAUUAAUUAUUUAACA